GACGAACGCUGGCGGCGUGCCUAAUACAUGCAAGUAGAACGCUGAAGCUUGGUGCUUGCACCGAGCGGAUGAGUUGCGAACGGGUGAGUAACGCGUAGGUAACCUGCCUCUUAGCGGGGGAUAACUAUUGGAAACGAUAGCUAAUACCGCAUAAAAGUCGAGAUCGCAUGAUGUUGACUUGAAAGGUGCAAUUGCAUCACUAAGAGAUGGACCUGCGUUGUAUUAGCUAGUUGGUGAGGUAACGGCUCACCAAGGCGACGAUACAUAGCCGACCUGAGAGGGUGAUCGGCCACACUGGGACUGAGACACGGCCCAGACUCCUACGGGAGGCAGCAGUAGGGAAUCUUCGGCAAUGGACGGAAGUCUGACCGAGCAACGCCGCGUGAGUGAAGAAGGUUUUCGGAUCGUAAAGCUCUGUUGUAAGAGAAGAACGAGUGUGAGAGUGGAAAGUUCACACUGUGACGGUAUCUUACCAGAAAGGGACGGCUAACUACGUGCCAGCAGCCGCGGUAAUACGUAGGUCCCGAGCGUUGUCCGGAUUUAUUGGGCGUAAAGCGAGCGCAGGCGGUUAGAUAAGUCUGAAGUUAAAGGCUGUGGCUUAACCAUAGUACGCUUUGGAAACUGUUUAACUUGAGUGCAAGAGGGGAGAGUGGAAUUCCAUGUGUAGCGGUGAAAUGCGUAGAUAUAUGGAGGAACACCGGUGGCGAAAGCGGCUCUCUGGCUUGUAACUGACGCUGAGGCUCGAAAGCGUGGGGAGCAAACAGG
rnacentral:rRNA from 1 species